GGGCCGCUAGCUCAGUUGGUAGAGCAACGGACUUUUAAUCCGUAGGUCCCAGGUUCGAGUCCUGGGCGGCUCA
rfam:Desulfurobacterium thermolithotrophum DSM 11699, complete genome.